AUUGAACGCUGGCGGAAUGCUUUACACAUGCAAGUCGAACGGCAGCACGGGGGCAGCCCUGGUGGCGAGUGGCGAACGGGUGAGUAAUACAUCGGAACGUGCCCGGUCGUGGGGGAUAACGUAGCGAAAGUUACGCUAAUACCGCAUACGAUCUGAGGAUGAAAGCGGGGGACCUUCGGACCUCGCGCGAUCGGAGCGGCCGAUGUCAGAUUAGGUAGUUGGUGGGGUAAAGGCCUACCAAGCCGACGAUCUGUAGCUGGUCUGAGAGGACGACCAGCCAAAGUGGGACUGAGAAACGGCCCAGACUCAGAGGGGAGGAAGCAGGGGGGAAUUUUGGAAAAUGGGGGCAAGCCUGAUCCAGCCAUUCCGGGUGGAGGAAGAAGGCUUGCGGGUUGUAAACUGCUUUUGUAAGGAACAAAAAGGGGCUGGCUAAUACCUGGGGCUAAUGAGGGUACCGAAAGAAUAAGCACCGGCUAACUACGG
rnacentral:rRNA from 1 species